ensembl:lncRNA
CUCAUUUCUUCCUGGAGCAGCUGGACCAAAGCCGAAGCCACCAGAAGGUAUCUGGUUAAAGCCACCCGACUGACAUGUUCCUCCAGACUUACCAACUUAUCCAGAUAAGCAAGGAGAAGGCUUUCCUGGGUUGCAAGAUGGACCUGGCUCUAUGUUUAAAAGGUAUCAAUACCCAUUACAGCUUGCUAAUAGUCAUUACGGCUCGUUUUGCUCACUGCUUGUGAUCGUUUUCUCCUUAUCACUUGGUUUGGUUUAAUACACAGAGCAAACAGCCUCUGUGCUGCCUGCUUAAUUAUUUCCAUCUCUUUGUCAAGUUUCUCAGCGCAAUAAUUAUGCCAGCUCGUAAAACUAGUCCUACAGUGGCAAUAGCAGGAACCUGACAGAAAGAGUUGGUUUGUAACAUGGAGCAAGGUGGUUCACUUUAACUAAACACUCAAUUUCUUUCCCCUUAGUUUAAUUAAUUCAGCUUAAUUAUUUAACCUACUAACCAAAGGUUAAUUUGAUUGGAUCUGAAGCACUCUAUUAUCAUAUUUAUAUCGGUUGGGGUUUCUUUUUGGAAUGAGCCUCGUGUUUUAUUACCUCUCAUCCUCAUUAAUUUUAGUGCUGCUGUUGGUCUCUCUUGAAACGUUUGUUUUCUCCAGGGCCAAGUUAAUCCAUAAUUCAGCGCUAAUGGUAAAUCGGCUGUGCGUUACCCGCUGCGCUCAGUGCUAAAAGCGAGGCCAGGGUUGGCGUGCAGGAGAUGGAUCGCACCCUCUCAUCACGGAUUGCAUUAGGAGCCCGAGACUAUCUGAAAGCAGCCCGUGGCAGUCGGAACAGAGCUAUGAUUUUGGGAACGGCUUCUGCAGCAUCAGAUUUGCGAGAAGAGAUGCUCCAGCCUUUCCAGCAAGUUGGUGACUGGGUGGCAGCCAGCGUGCUCAGUACAAAGAGGUUCAGAAUUCACAGAAUAGAUGUGCAGAAAGGGGAAGAUUUAAAGGCAUAAAAAUAGCUCCUUUCUGUGAAAAAGGAGCUGUGUUUUCCAUGCCCAAGUUUCAGACAUGCGGAUUUAAGACAGGCACGUGGUAAGUGCUGCAGCUAACACGUGAUGAUUAGAGAAGGGUUAAUUGAAAAUAAUGUAGUGUAUUUACCUUAAGCAAAAGGAAAUCAAAUGCAACAUCAGGGUGAAUUUAGCUUGGGUGAAGUGCUGUUUUAAGGGAAAAGUGCAGACAAACUUUUAAAGGAACUAGAGCAUAAAUCUGUCUCACAACAACCUGUCCAUGGAGUAGUUACCUUAAGAAUGAAAUCACCACCAGACCUGGUAUAACAGUUCUUUAUUUCAGUGUCUCUAACACAAAAAGAGGGCUUGCAUUUUGACAUCAGAACCAUGCAAAGCACCUGUACACAGAGAACAAUAUAUCAAAUGAGUGUCUCCCUCCUGCUACAUACGGUAAAUUUAGGCAGGAAGACUCGGUUUUCCUUCGCAUUCUGCUCUAUCCUUCCACAAAUCAACCAGCUGCGAGAGGUGAUAAUUAACCUUCAUUCCAAACCAGUAAUUUGCCACAGAACAGUAUUCUGCACUGCCCCAAGCUGCUCAUAAAUGCUUCCGUAAACAUCCUCAAGGACCCUCAGGUUCUGCUCUCCUUUUACAAGGAUGAAGUUCUGAACAUCUCCAGCUACUGGAACAGGCUUUAACAGAGGUACUGCGGUAAUGCAGUUGUACAAGAACAGAUUUUGGCUCAAAGGAUGAAUGUCUCCUCCAUACAGAGGCCCAAAAAAGGCCCUCAUUAACAUCCCAGACACAGGGACGCAGAGACCACAGUGCCCCUAGGCUCAGAGAUUUGUCAUAUGCACAGAGGAUUAAUUAGACAUCCCAACUAUUAAAAAACAGUGGUGUAGAAAAAAUAAAAGGCAUAAAAUACCGAACCA